CAAUUGAGCAACCGCGAGUGUCUGCUGUAUCGCUCUAUUUUAAAACCGCGAGUCUGAAGAUAGUACCUACGAAACGACCUCUUAGAGGUCACGGAUCACGGUCAACGAAUAAACGAACGCGAAAGAAGGGAGCGACGAAGACAAGCAAGGUCAACAGUGCAGCAGCGGGACGUGCAAGACGCAAAGGCAACGAAAAGUGUGCUGACUGCUAGUGUGGCAGUGUGCUUGUGCUACAACAGUAGUAUAUAUAGUAGUAUAAUUUAUGUAAGUCGUAAGAUGACAAGCACGCGCAAGUGCAGUAGCCAGUAAUGCGGUAUACACGAUACAAUACAAUACCUACACUUCAAAAUAUGCGAAUAUUAUCAAUUAUGCGAUAAACGGUAAUACUGAUAAUAGAAGUACUAAAAGAUAACGCGCCGCCGUUGUUAUCUUAUAAUAACCAGACGCUUGAUAACAUAAUAUAUGUAAUAUAUUAAUUAUAUUAAUUGGUUGUAAAUUUGUAAUAAACCAGCUUGAUAUAAAAAUUAGGAGUUGCAGUCACCAUAUUGACUUAUUGUUCUGUUGCUCAGUACUGUCUUCUAAUAAGGCUGAAAUAUAUUUCUGGUGUGCAUCUACCCAAACCAAACCCAACAGUGAAGAGUGAUCACUGAUCAGUGACCAAUCAAUAUUCUCUAACAGCAACUGAUUUACUCUGUAAGAAUGAUUAGAUUAAAUCCUACAAGAAUAGAGCUAAGGAUUGAAGAUCUAGGCGAAUUCGCGGAUAUCAAAAAUCAUUAUGAAACUAUUAAAAAAACUAAAGAAGAAAAACAAAAAACUCUGUACGGUCCUCUUCAAAACAGCAACUCUUCAAAAACCAAACAAGAUGCUGUACAAGAAAGAAUAGGAUUUAUCCCACGGCCCAGA